rnacentral:misc_RNA from 1 species
GAUGAAGAACGUAGCGAAAUGCGAUACGUAGUGUGAAUUGCAGAAUUCAGUGAAUCAUCGAAUCUUUGAACGCACAUUGCACCUCUCGGUAUUCCGGGAGGUAUGCCUGUUCGAGCGUCAUUUGUACCCUCAAGCUCUGCUUGGUGCUGGGUGUUUGUUCCGCCUCUGUGUGUGAACUCGCCUCAAAACAAUUGGCAGCCGGCGUACUUGUUUCGGAGCGCAGCACAUUUUGCGAUCCAGAUCAACGUACAGCGGCAUCCAAGAAGCCUUAUUUAACGCUCUUGACCUCGGAUCAGGUAGGGAUACCCGCUGAACUUAAGCAUAUCAAUAAGCGGAGGA